GCCUUGGUGGUGUAGUGGUCAGCACACUCGGAGCGUAUUGAAGAGGUCCGUGGUUCAAAUCCCGGCGAGGGCA
rnacentral:tRNA from 1 species